UCCGAUGUGGUGUAGUGGUUAACAUUAUCGCCUCUCAUAAGUAUAUUUGUACGCGAUAGCCCGGGGUUCGAUUCCCCGUGUCGGAA